rnacentral:rRNA from 1 species
CAGCCGCCGCGGGAACACAGAGGGUGCGAGCGUUAAUCGGAUUUACUGGGCGUAAAGCGUGCGUAGGCGGCUUCUUAAGUCGGAUGUGAAAUCCCUGAGCUUAACUUAGGAAUUGCAUUCGAUACUGGGAAGCUAGAGUAUGGGAGAGGAUGGUAGAAUUCCAGGUGUAGCGGUGAAAUGCGUAGAGAUCUGGAGGAAUACCGAUGGCGAAGGCAGCCAUCUGGCCUAAUACUGACGCUGAGGUACGAAAGCAUGGGGAGCAAACAGGAUUAGAUACCCCUGUAGUCCCUGUCUCUUAUAC